rnacentral:rRNA from 1 species
GAGGGAGUGGCGGACGGGUGAGUAACACGUGGGUAACCUACCCAUCAGAGGGGGAUAACACUUGGAAACAGGUGCUAAUACCGCAUAACAGUUUAUGCCGCAUGGCAUAAGAGUGAAAGGCGCUUUCGGGUGUCGCUGAUGGAUGGACCCGCGGUGCAUUAGCUAGUUGGUGAGGUAACGGCUCACCAAGGCCACGAUGCAUAGCCGACCUGAGAGGGUGAUCGGCCACACUGGGACUGAGACACGGCCCAGACUCCUACGGGAGGCAGCAGUAGGGAAUCUUCCACAAUGGACGAAAGUCUGAUGGAGCAACGCCGCGUGAGUGAAGAAGGUUUUCAGAUCGUAAAACUCUGUUGUUGGAGAAGAAUGUAUCUGAUAGUAACUGAUCAGGUAGUGACGGUAUCCAACCAGAAAGCCACGGCUAACUACGUGCCAGCAGCCGCGGUAAUACGUAGGUGGCAAGCGUUGUCCGGAUUUAUUGGGCGUAAAGCGAGCGCAGGCGGUUUCUUAAGUCUGAUGUGAAAGCCUUCGGCUCAACCGAAGAAGUGCAUCGGAAACUGGGAAACUUGAGUGCAGAAGAGGACAGUGGAACUCCAUGUGUAGCGGUGAAAUGCGUAGAUAUAUGGAAGAACACCAGUGGCGAAGGCGGCUGUCUGGUCUGUAACUGACGCUGAGGCUCGAAAGCAUGGGUAGCAAACAGGAUUAGAUACCCUGGUAGUCCAUGCCGUAAACGAUGAGUGCUAGGUGUCGGAGGGUUUCCGCCCUUCAGUGCCGCAGCUAACGCAUUAAGCACUCCGCCUGGGGAGUACGACCGCAAGGUUGAAACUCAAAGGAAUUGACGGGGGCCCGCACAAGCGGUGGAGCAUGUGGUUUAAUUCGAAGCAACGCGAAGAACCUUACCUACACUUGACAUCCCUUGCAUUACUCUUAAUCGAGGAAAUCCCUUCGGGGACAAGGUGACAGGUGGUGCAUGGUUGUCGCCAGCUCGUGUCGUGAGAUGUUGGGUUAAGUCCCGCAACGAGCGCAACCCUUGUCGUUAGUUACUACCAUUAAGUUGAGGACUCUAGCGAGACUGCCUGGGUUAACCAGGAGGAAGGUGGGGAUGACGUCAAAUCAUCAUGCCCCUUAUGUGUAGGGCUACACACGUGCUACAAUGGCUGGUACAGAGAGAUGCAAUACCGCGAGGUGGAGCCAAACUUAAAAACCAGUCUCAGUUCGGAUUGUAGGCUGAAACUCGCCUACAUGAAGCUGGAGUUACUAGUAAUCGCGAAUCAGAAUGUCGCGGUGAAUACGUUCCCGGGUCUUGCACUCACCGCCCGUCA